rnacentral:rRNA from 1 species
UACGUAGGGUGCGAGCGUUGUCCGGAAUUACUGGGCGUAAAGAGCUCGUAGGUGGUUUGUCGCGUUGUCCGUGAAAACUCACAACUCAAUUGUGGGCGUGCGGGCGAUACGGGCAGACUGGAGUACUGCAGGGGAGACUGGAAUUCCUGGUGUAGCGGUGAAAUGCGCAGAUAUCAGGAGGAACACCGGUGGCGAAGGCGGGUCUCUGGGCAGUAACUGACGCUGAGGAACGAAAGCGUGGGUAGCAAACAGG